AGCAGCCGCGGUAAUUCCAGCUCCCAAUAGCGUAUAUUAAAGUUGUUGCAGUUAAAAAGCUCGUAGUUGAAUUUCGGGGUUAGUAAGUUGGUCAUGCCUUCGGUAUGUACUGGCUUUACUGAUUCCUCCUUCUUGACGAACCGUGAUGUCAUUAAUUUGGUGUUGCGGGAAAUCAGGACUGUUACUUUGAAAAAAUUAGAGUGUUUAAAGCAGGCUAACGCUUGAAUACAUUAGCAUGGAAUAAUGAAAUCGGACGUUAAUCCUAUUUUGUUGGUUUCUAGGAUCGACGUAAUGAUUAAUAGGGAUAGUUGGGGGCAUUAGUAUUCAAUUGUCAGAGGUGAAGUUCUUGGAUUUAUUGAAGACUAACUACUGCGAAAGCAUUUGCCAAGGAUGUUUUCAUUAAUCAAGAACGAAAGUUAGGGGAUCGAAGACGAUCAGAUACCGUCGUAGUCUUAACCAUAAACUAUGCCGACUAGGGAUCGGAUGAUGUUAUUUUUAAUGACUCA
rnacentral:rRNA from 1 species